GUCCCAAGGGUUUGGCUGUUCGCCAAUUAAAGCGGUACGCGAGCUGGGUUCAGAACGUCGUGAGACAGUUCGGUCUCCUAUCCGCUACGGGCGUUGAAUCUUGAAGAGUCUCAUCUCUAGUACGAGAGGACCGAGAUGAACGAACCUCUAGUGUACCAGUUGUGUCACCAGAUGCAUUGCUGGGUAGCUACGUUCGGUUUGGAUAAACGCUGAAAGCAUAUAAGCGUGAAGCUGUCUCUAAGAUUAGGAUUCGUUAUAGGUCACUGGGAGACUACCAGUUUGAUAGGCUCUAUGUGUAAGUACAGUAAUGUAUUUAGCAGAGGAGUACUAAUAGACCGAAGC
rnacentral:rRNA from 1 species